rnacentral:rRNA from 1 species
GGGCGAAAGCCUGAUCCAGCCUGCCGCGUGUGUGAGAAGGUCUUCGGAUUGUAAAGCUAUUUAAGUUGGGAGGAAGGGCAGUAAGUUAAUACCUUGCUGUUUUGACGUUUCCGACAGAACAAGCCACGGCUAACUUCAUGCCAGCAGCCGCGGUAA